rnacentral:rRNA from 1 species
GUGUCAGCCGCCGCGGUAAUACAGAGGGUGCGAACGUUGCUCGGAAUUACUGGGCGUAAAGCGCGUGUAGGCGGGGUCGCAAGUCAGAUGUGAAAGCCCCGGGCUCAACCCGGGAACUGCAUCUGAAACUGCGAUCCUUGAGUGUCGGAGAGGGUAGCGGAAUUCCUGGUGUAGAGGUGAAAUUCGUAGAUAUCAGGAGGAACACCGGUGGCGAAGGCGGCUACCUGGACGACAACUGACGCUGAGACGCGAAAGCGUGGGGAGCAAACAGGAUUAGAAACCCUCGUAGUCC